GACGAACGCUGGCGGCGUGCCUAAUACAUGCAAGUAGAACGCUGAAGCUUGGUGCUUGCACCGAGUGGAUGAGUUGCGAACGGGUGAGUAACGCGUAGGUAACCUGCCUUGUAGCGGGGGAUAACUAUUGGAAACGAUAGCUAAUACCGCAUAAGAGUAGAUGUUGCAUGACAUUUGCUUAAAAGGUGCAAUUGCAUCACUACCAGAUGGACCUGCGUUGUAUUAGCUAGUUGGUGAGGUAACGGCUCACCAAGGCAACGAUACAUAGCCGACCUGAGAGGGUGAUCGGCCACACUGGGACUGAGACACGGCCCAAACUCCUACGGGAGGCAGCAGUAGGGAAUCUUCGGCAAUGGACGGAAGUCUGACCGAGCAACGCCGCGUGAGUGAAGAAGGUUUUCGGAUCGUAAAGCUCUGUUGUAAGAGAAGAACGAGUGUGAGAGUGGAAAGUUCACACUGUGACGGUAUCUAACCAGAAAGGGACGGCUAACUACGUG
rnacentral:rRNA from 1 species